CCUUUAGGCUUGGCUUAGGAGUCUCUUCAACAGCCACCUGGGGCUCGGGCCUUUGGAUUGAAUGUCAGCAUUGGAUUUUCUGGUUUUCUGUCUUAUAGACAGGGGGCAAUAGAACUUCUGGGGCACCAAAAUCAACUGGUCUGCUACCAGAAGGGGCCACCCCAACUGACAGAGGGUCUUCACACAUCGAUCAAGGCGGUCAGGACAAUUCAUCUGCUGAGACUCCCUAUUCAGGUCCUCCUCACUCACUUGCCUGUGAACCAGCACGCUCUUUGGAAAAGCCCUGGUCACCAUCGUGUCUUAUGCUGAUCUCCAGGUGCCUGCUCUUGCCCUGCUCUGGGUGCAGGCUCAGAAGCCACACCCCUUAUAGCAGCGUGCACGUUUCUCCUGUUUCUCCAAUCACGCUUCUCUUUCCCGACUGCUGGUUCUUCCCACUUUAUCUCUCCCAUUACCUGCUAGGCUUCAGUUUGAGGUUUGGAAGCCGUUCAUCUUUUCUGCCCCGCGUCGCACACCCAAGAGUCUGAGAGGAUGCCAUUCCAAUUCCAGCCCUGCAUGAACCAGCCCUGUGCCCUUGGGCGCGAGGUUUCAACUUUCUGGGCCUCAGUUUCCUAAUCCAUGAAUUGCAAUAAAUCUAGGCCUCUGGGUACACGUGGAGAUUAAACAAGAUAAUCUAAAUGACAGCUCUAGUACAGUAGCUGGCAAAGGUAAAUGGUAAUUACAGCCCACGUCCCUUCUUCCCACGUGUCCUCUCUUGCUCCUUCUAUACAGCAGCACGGUGCAGCCUCCCUUUCAAGUCCCCAUUUUCUGGCCUACAUAAAAAUAGCAACACAUAAAAUGAAAUUGCACAGAGUAUUUUUAUAUCCCCCAAAUAACUCGAUUCAAUUAUAGACUGGUCAAUUUUAGGUGUUUGAGCAUUACCAAUGCAUCUAAAGCUGGUAAAUCAAGUUCCAGGUCUCCAUUUAGAAAAUAAAGAACUGAAUCAAUCCCUUGGAAAAAAUUUGUUAGGGAAAGACAUUUUUUUUUUCUUGAGGCCCUAAACCUUAUAUGGAAUGUGUCAGCAAUUGCUAACUCUGCUGGCUGGAAGACCGAACACAAGGAACCCUUUAUACUUCUAAUCUGCCACGGUCUCUGAGAGUCUAGCGGAGGGAUUGAAGCUCAUGCUUUCUGGCAAUAGAGAUUUGGCAGGAGAUCCCUGAGUGCACCCGAAGAGUGCUCAUGUGACUCACUUUGUGCAGGGGAAUCCAGAAAAUCAGGAAGAAAUGUGGCAAUGAAUGGAAAAGCACUUACCAACGCAUUAUUGCAACUGUUAGUGGGAAAACAGUAACAGUCCCUAAGCUAAAGCGAGAGUCAAGGCACGGUCACAGUAUUCUUACAGACAAAUACAAAGUAACGAGAAUGGUCCAGGUUCUAAUGUUGGCAGUGCUACUUGUUACUGUUGUAGGAAGGUACCCCUAUUUAUGUGUGUGUAGGUGCUUUUGUGUGUAUGGUUGUACAUGCACAGGUGUGUACAUAUAUGUUGAGGACACAGAACAAACUUAGAUGUCUUUCCUCAGGUACUGUCCAUCUUUCUGAAACCUGGUUUAGAACUCACAGACAGGCUAGAGUGACUGGCCAGGGAGUCCCAGUGCAGCAUUGAAAUCGCAAGCAUUUUCCUACACCUGGCUUUUAAACGUGGGUUAUGGGGAUCAAAGUCAGGUCCUUGUGCUGGCACCACAUGUGUUUCAGCAACUGAGUUAGCUCCCCAGGACCUAGUACCACUUUCCUCUGUAACUUUAGUCAAAUAACUUCAUGUAGCUGAGUCUCUACUUCAUCGGUAAACAAGAAACUAAUACUCUUUACACAGUAUGCCUGGGGACCUAGAAAGUAUUUAAUCAUGGUGUGGGUGUGACUAUGAAUUCAUAUGAUCAUGUGGUUUAUUUUUACACCUUCUCCUUGGUACCUUCAUUCACUUUCACUUUUGUUUUAGAUUAUUUAUUUAACAUGUAUGAAUGUUUUACCUGCAUGUAUGUAUGUAUGUCACAUGCAUGCCUGGUACCUGUGGAGAUCAGAAGAGGGCACCAGAUUUACUGGGAUUGGUGUUACGGACGUUUGUGAGUUGUGGGUGUGACAGCUGUGUCUCUUACUGCUGAGCCACCACCCCAGCCUCAUCUCCUUGGUCCUUGUCUUAGUUGGGGGUUUCUAUCGCUGUCAUAAAACACCAUGACCAAUGCAACUUUGAUAGGAAAGGGUUUAUUUAGCUUCCACUUCCAUAUCAUCACUCAUCACUGAAGGAAGUCAGGACCGGGAUUCAGGCAGGGCAGGCAGGGUAAGACUCCAGAUACAGAGGCCAUGGAGGGGCACUGCUUACUCACUUGCCGUUCAUGGCUUGCUCAGCCUUCUCUUUUAUAGAACCCAGGACCACUAACCAAGGGGUGGUCGUCCCACCUACAUCCAUCACUCAUUAGGAAAAUGCCCCACAGGUUUGUCUACCACCCCAUCUUUUCUUAGUCGAGGUUCCCUCCUCUGUGAUGACUCUAGCUUGUGUCAAAUUGACAUAAAACUAAUCAGGACAGUACUCAUCACUGAGAGAAAUACUUGUCCAUCCAUGGAAGUGUUGGGGUUUAUACCCAGGAAAAGGGGUGGGGGAGAGACUAACAUUUCUCAGAAAAGUCUGCAGGAGUUAACACUUGGAUUCUACCUCUCAACCUUUGCUAAUACAUUUGGCUUUUUUGUUUGCACAAAGAAGAAACUUAUUGCAAGGGAAGAUUUACACUAAAUUCACAAAUCAUUCUAAAAACCAGCUCUUAAGUCGGUUAAUUUCAAUGAGAAAGAUGGCUUUUGAUAGUAUCAGGAUACCCAAGUCUGUAUGAUUAGUUCCUAUCUUUUUUGCUUUUGCAUCUUCACAGAACAACAAAGUUUAACAACAAAAUGCAAUACACAAUGUAGAAUCAAGGUGAUAGACUUAGAGGAUAUAACGCAAAACAUACUCAAUCUGAGACAGUCUAAACCAAUCUUAGACAAUUUAAGCCUUAUAGGAUGGAGGCCCCUCUUGAGAGUAUUGUGUAUUGUGAAAGGUUAUCCGGCAAGCAUGCUCCCAAAGGCCACGUGUUGGGAAUUUACUCUUCAUAUGUACAUUUUACCCAUGUUUGGGAUCAAUCCCAUGAGAGGUAACUAGAAUUAUAUGUAGUCACAGGAUGGGAUUCCAUAAUGGCAUUUGUAAUUCUAUUAGUCAAUACUUUGAAAGUAGACUAUUUCUAUGUAGCUCAGGCUGUUCUCAAAGUCAUAAUCCUCUUGUCUCCCUAAGCCUCUACAGGGCCUGGGCUGUCCGCCUCAGCCUCCAUGCCCAGCUUGGCAUCACUGAGUUUAUCCAAAGCCAGAGAUCCAAGCUAGAAUGUCAACUCUGUUUCUCCACGGGAUGCUUUCUGCCACAUUAUUAUGUAGCAGGAAGUCCCCAUCCCCUCCCUUCCAGAUACUGAGUGGAUGUCAGCACCAUGCUCUUGAGUUUUUAGUCUCUAAAACUGUAAGCCCCAAAGCCAUGCAGUACCCACUCUCAGGUGCUUUAUUAUAGCAGCGUAACACGGACUAACACAUACUUCCUGGUGGUGUUGAUUACCUAAUACUUCUUUAAGCUUCUGUGUAACCAAAAUGCUGUAAAUAAAGUCUAAAUAAAGAUGACAAACUGGAACAAAAUUUGCAAUGACUAUGGUAGUUAAAAAGUUAAAGUAAUAUACACAGAGAACUCAUAUUCACUAAUAAGAAAAGGUCAAACUCUACCAGAAAGAUGGUCAAGAAGAACAGAUAGUUUUCACACACACACACACACACACACACACACACACACACACACACACACAAACACAAAGAAUACAAAUUAUUGGUAAAUUGAAAGGAAGCACAUUGCAUUUAUUCCUUACAAGUGAGAGUUAUAUAUCAUGGCUAUAAUUCAUCCACUUUGUUAAUGAAACAUAGAUUUAUGGCCAUAUAUUGCACAUACAGUGUUUGUAUGUGCAACAUGCAUUCACGCAGUUACACCUAUCUUUUGUAAG